GGACUUCUGAAGCAUAAUAAUUUUCGGCAAUCUAAUGACAGUUAGAAACACAAGAAUGCAUCAACCAAUGAUGGACUUAUCAAAAAGAAAAGAAUUUUCUACUUAUUUCCUUUCUGAUGGAUGUAAGAACUUAAAUACAAGCAUAUCGCUGGUAAGUUGGCUGCACUAUGGGUAUAAUUGCAGUAUGCCAGUGGUAGAAACAAAC
rnacentral:misc_RNA from 1 species